rnacentral:rRNA from 1 species
UGGACACACUAAAUUUAACCUUUAUUUGCCUUAGUAAUAUAAAUUAGCCCUCAGGUGAAGAGACCUGAAUCUAGUAGAAAGACAAGAAGACCCUGUUGAGUUUUACCUUUAGAUAAAUUAAAAGGUUUUGUUGGGGCGACCUGGGAACUAAUAUAACUUCCCUUAAAUAAAAGGACACCGUAAAAUUGAUCCUUAAGGAAUUCAGAAUAAACUACCAUAGGGAUAACAGGCUAAUUUUUUCAGCGAGUUCAUAUUAAUGAAAAAGUUUGGCACCUCGAUGUUGGCUUGAAGAAUCUUUUAGGUGCAGCAGCCUA